rnacentral:rRNA from 1 species
UGCAAGUCGAACGAUGAUCCGGUGCUUGCACCGGGGAUUAGUGGCGAACGGGUGAGUAACACGUGAGUAACCUGCCCUUGACUCUGGGAUAAGCCUGGGAAACUGGGUCUAAUACCGGAUAUGACUCCUCAUCGCAUGGUGGGGGGUGGAAAGCUUUUGCGGUUUUGGAUGGACUCGCGGCCUAUCAGCUUGUUGGUGAGGUAAUGGCUCACCAAGGCGACGACGGGUAGCCGGCCUGAGAGGGUGACCGGCCACACUGGGACUGAGACACGGCCCAGACUCCUACGGGAGGCAGCAGUGGGGAAUAUUGCACAAUGGGCGAAAGCCUGAUGCAGCGACGCCGCGUGAGGGAUGACGGCCUUCGGGUUGUAAACCUCUUUCAGUAGGGAAGAAGCGAAAGUGACGGUACCUGCAGAAGAAGCGCCGGCUAACUACGUGCCAGCAGCCGCGGUAAUACGUAGGGCGCAAGCGUUAUCCGGAAUUAUUGGGCGUAAAGAGCUCGUAGGCGGUUUGUCGCGUCUGCCGUGAAAGUCCGGGGCUCAACUCCGGAUCUGCGGUGGGUACGGGCAGACUAGAGUGAUGUAGGGGAGACUGGAAUUCCUGGUGUAGCGGUGAAAUGCGCAGAUAUCAGGAGGAACACCGAUGGCGAAGGCAGGUCUCUGGGCAUUAACUGACGCUGAGGAGCGAAAGCAUGGGGAGCGAACAGGAUUAGAUACCCUGGUAGUCCAUGCCGUAAACGUUGGGCACUAGGUGUGGGGGACAUUCCACGUUUUCCGCGCCGUAGCUAACGCAUUAAGUGCCCCGCCUGGGGAGUACGGCCGCAAGGCUAAAACUCAAAGGAAUUGACGGGGGCCCGC